rnacentral:rRNA from 1 species
CUACCCGCUGAACUUAAGCAUAUCAUAAACCGGAAGGAA